rnacentral:rRNA from 1 species
AACGAACGCUGGCGGCAUGCCUAACACAUGCAAGUCGAACGAGACCUUCGGGUCUAGUGGCGCACGGGUGCGUAACGCGUGGGAACCUGCCCUUAGGUUCGGAAUAACUCCCCGAAAGGGGUGCUAAUACCAGAUAAUGUCUUCGGACCAAAGAUUUAUCGCCUUUGGAUGGGCCCGCGUUGGAUUAGCUAGUUGGUAGGGUAAAAGCCUACCAAGGCGACGAUCCAUAGCUGGUCUGAGAGGAUGAUCAGCCACACUGGGACUGAGGCACGGCCCAGACUCCUACGGGAGGCAGCAGUGGGGAAUAUUGGACAAUGGGCGAAAGCCUGAUCCAGCAAUGCCGCGUGAGUGAUGAAGGCCUUAGGGUUGUAAAGCUCUUUUACCCGGGAUGAUAAUGACAGUACCGGGAGAAUAAGCUCCGGCUAACUCCGU